rnacentral:rRNA from 1 species
UACGUAGGUGACAAGCGUUGUCCGGAUUUACUGGGCGUAAAGAGCGCGCAGGCGGUCGUUCAAGUCGAGUGUGAAAGCCCCCGGCUCAACUGGGGAGGGUCACUCGAUACUGAUCGACUCGAAGGCAGGAGAGGGUAGUGGAAUUCCCGGUGUAGUGGUGAAAUGCGUAGAUAUCGGGGAGGAACACCAGUGGCGAAGGCGACUACCUGGCCUGUUCUUGACGCUGAGGCGCGUAAAGCUAGGGGAGCAA